AACGAACGCUGGCGCGUGUUUAAGACAUGCAAGUCGAACGAGAUGACACCGGUAUUUAUAUUGGUUGACUCUAGUGGCGCACGGGUGAGUAACACGUGAACAACAUACCCUCGAGUGGGGGAUAGCCCGCCGAAAGGCGGAUUAAUACCCCCGUGGUAUCUUCGGAUUAAAGAUGGCUUCGGCUGUCGCUUGAGGAUUGGUUCGCGCCCUAUCAGCUUGUUGGUGAGGUAACGGCUCACCAAGGCUACGACGGGUACCUGGUUUGAGAGGACGAUCAGGCACACUGGAACUGAGACACGGUCCAGACACCUACGGGUGGCAGCAGUCGAGAAUAAUUCACAAUGGGCGAAAGCCUGAUGGUGCAACGCCGCGUGGAGGAUGACGGUCUUCGGAUUGUAAACUCCUGUCAUCAGGGAGUAAGACCUGGGUGUUAAUAGCACACAGGGUUGAUAGUACCUGAAGAGGAAGGGACGGCUAACUUCGUG
rnacentral:rRNA from 1 species